rnacentral:rRNA from 1 species
UCGGAUUGCAGGCUGCAACCCGCCUGCAUGAAGUCGGAAUCGCUAGUAAUCGCGAGUCAGCAUAUCGCGGUGAAUACGUUCCCGGGUCUUGUACACACCGCCCGUCACACCAUGGGAGUUGGCAACACCCGAAGUCGAUGAGCUAACCUUUUAGGAGGCAGUCGCCUAAGGUGGGGUUGAUAACUGGGGUGAAGUCGUAACAAGGUAUC